AAGAGCCGGAUGAGGGAAAUCUUCAAGUCCGGUUCUGUGAGGGGCAUUGAAGUUCCUCACAUGGUUGAAUAUCGUGGCACUCUCGAUACCGAAAGGCAAGAGAAACAGAGAAAAAAAUUAAACCUAAAUGGAGGCACCAUAUUAUGUCUACUCGAA
rnacentral:ncRNA from 1 species